rnacentral:rRNA from 1 species
CGGAGGAUCCAAGCGUUAUCCGGAUUUAUUGGGUUUAAAGGGUGCGUAGGUGGCUUUUUAAGUCAGGGGUGAAAGACGGUAGCUUAACUAUCGCAGUGCCUUUGAUACUGAAGAGCUUGAAUGAACUAGAGGUAGGCGGAAUGUGACAAGUAGCGGUGAAAUGCAUAGAUAUGUCACAGAACACCAAUUGCGAAGGCAGCUUACUAUGGUUUUAUUGACACUGAGGCACGAAAGCGUGGGGAUCAAACAGGAUUAGAUACCCUGGUAGUCCACGCCCUAAACGAUGAAUACUCGAUGUUGGCGAUAUACGGUCAGCGUCUAAGCGAAAGCGUUAAGUAUUCCACCUGGGGAGUACGCCCGCAAGGGUG